UUUGGUGGGUAUAGCGGUCGUGAAACACUCGAUCCCAUCCCGAACUCGACAGUGAAACCGGCCAGCGCCUAUGAUACUUCGUCUUAAGACGUGGGAAAGUCGGUCCCUGCCAAAU
rnacentral:rRNA from 1 species